CAAAGAUACCCAGGUUUAGAUCAAACCAACAAAACGAAAAGCUAAGGUACUAAGCCUCAAUCUGCUCCCGGAGAAUUUCCAACCUUACAGAAGAAUUCCAUGACUACACUCUCCAAGCGACGGCAACUAUCCUUCAAGUAAGCUAUCACAGGUAAGCUGUGUCCUCCUUGGAAUUGAGGACAUCUGAUUCCACUUGUGCAGGGCAACGAUCCUGUCUGGCUGCUGGUAGACGACAAGCCUGUUCGUAGGAUGAUCAGCAACGAGCACCGUGGAGCACUGGAGCACGAGAAGAGUCGUCGGGCGUGACACUAUGCUUGGCUUGGAAAGGAGUAAAGUAAACAUGAACGCAUGCAACUUUUCAAAAAAAAAAAGAACGCAUGCAGAUGCAGGAGCCCAAACAGAGCCAAACCCUCGCCUGUCGAGGUCGGGCAGAGAUUCCUUACAUGGAAAACUGCCACCUGCUUGCAUCGGUUGCUCCCAUGGCGUCCGUCGUCCUGCAUGAAUGAGUUUCCUCCUCACUUUCUCAGUGGUACCACAUGACAAGAUCGAAAAGGUUAGAUUGCAGAGUUGUUUGCAUCUUUCAGCGAAGCAAUAAAAGAUGCAAAUCCAUGCUUGGUACAGUGUGGCUUUCGUUAGGCCUCCUCCGAUGGCUGGCGAAGUCGCCAGCAAUAGGAUUUGUUUAAUAGAUGAAUAGUAGAAAAACAUUCACGCUAGCGCUGAGCUAACCGUGUAGCGAGAGUGCUUUCUCCUUCACAUGCACAAAGUCCAAAAUAUUGAUGUUGCUACGCUGGCCGGCGAAAUCGCCCAUGCCAGCGGCAACCACUAGAGGAUGCCUUAUGGAGAGAAGUCAUAUAUUGCAAU